rnacentral:rRNA from 1 species
GGAGUUAGCCGGUGCUUCUUCUGUGAGUGAUGUCCUUCCUGCCGGUUAUUGACCCGCAGGCCUUCUUCCUCACUGAAAGUGCUUUACAACCCGAAGGCCUUCUUCACACACGCGGCAUGGCUGGAUCAGGGUUGCCCCCAUUGUCCAAUAUUCCCCACUGCUGCCUCCCGUAGGAGUCUGGGCCGUGUCUCAGUCCCAGUGUGGCUGAUCAUCCUCUCAGACCAGCUACGGAUCGUCGCCUUGGUGAGCCGUUACCUCACCAACCAGCUAAUCCGACAUAGGCUCAUCCGAUAGCGCGAGGCCCGAAGGUCCCCCGCUUUCCCCCGUAGGGCGUAUGCGGUAUUAGCCUGGGUUUCCCCAGGGUUAUCCCCCACUACCGGGCAGAUUCCUAUGCAUUACUCACCCGUCCGCCGCUCGCCACCAGGGAGCAAGCUCCCCGUGCUGCCGCUCGACUUGCAUGUGUUAGGCCUGCCGCCAGCGUUCAAUCUGAGCCAGAAUCAAACUCUGA